rnacentral:rRNA from 1 species
UACGUAGGGGGCAAGCGUUGUCCGGAUUGACUGGGCGUAAAGGGCGCGUAGGCGGCUUGUACAGUCAGACGUGAAAUUCCUGGGCUCAACCUGGGGGCUGCGUUUGAUACGUGCGGGCUUGAGUUCGGAAGAGGGUCGUGGAAUUCCCAGUGUAGAGGUGAAAUUCGUAGAUAUUGGGAAGAACACCGGUGGCGAAGGCGGCGACCUGGUCCGAUACUGACGCUGAGGCGCGAAAGCGUGGGGAGCAAACAGG